GACGAACGCUGGCGGCGUGCUUAACACAUGCAAGUCGAGCGGUAAGGCCCUUUCGGGGGUACACGAGCGGCGAACGGGUGAGUAACACGUGGGUGACCUGCCCUCAGCUCUGGGAUAAGCCUGGGAAACCGGGUCUAAUACUGGAUAUGACUCCAUGACGCAUGUUGUGGGGUGGAAAGCCUUGUGCGGCUGAGGAUGGGCCCGCGGCCUAUCAGCUUGUUGGGGGGUGAUGGCCUACCAAGGCGACGACGGGUAGCCGGCCUGAGAGGGCGACCGGCCACACUGGGACUGAGACACGGCCCAGACUCCUACGGGAGGCAGCAGUGGGGAAUCUUGCGCAAUGGGCGAAAGCCUGACGCAGCGACGCCGCGUGA
rnacentral:rRNA from 1 species